ACUCGUCGCCCCUUCUUUGCCCCGCCUCCUCCCUUUUGUCGUCCGCUUCCACCGCUCCGUUUCCACUACCACUCUACACCUCUGACUGCACACUCGUAGGUCCUCCCUCUUCCCCCGCCUCUUCAACUCUUCCGCCUCUGCCCCUGCCGUCACAACCACCAUCUCCGUCGGAGACAAUCUUCCUGACGCCAACCUCUCCUACUUUGGCUCCGAUGGGGAGCUCCAGACCGUCACCAUCUCUGAUCUCACCAAGAGCAAGAAAGUCAUCUUCUUCACCGUCCCGAGGCCUUUACGCCGACGUGCUCGCAAAAGUACCUCCCUGGAUUUGUGGAAAAGGAUGGGGAGCUGCAUGCCAAAGGCGUGGACACCAUUGCCUGCAUCUCAGUCAACGACGCUUCCGUGAUGCAUGCCUGGAAGAAGGAUCUCAACAUUAGGGACGAGGUUUUGCUACUCUUCGACGGAAACAGGGAGGUUUUGCUACUCGCACGAACCCCCGAGACGCUCCCAGAAGAAACCAAUGUUUAAUCAUCAUGGCGUAUAAAGGGCGAAGGGAGAACACGCCUUCUCUCCUCGCUCGGAGACUUCGAUCUGUUUUCAUUGUUCGCCGAGAGAGAGAGAUAGAGAAGAGAGAGAGAUGGAUGCGUUCUUCCAAUCCCGAUCUCAGUCCCAUGGCGGAUGGACUCGGAAUUCCUUCAAAAAUUUCGGUUAGAUCCCUUCGAAUGUUCAAAAUCAUAUGAUGCUGGUUUACUUGACGCUAUGUUGCGCGCUCGCGGCAUCAGCGGCUGGAGCUUAUCUCCACAUUUUGAUGAACAUUGGCGGAUUUUUGACGAUGAUGGGUUGCUUUGGUAGCAUCAUGUGUCUGCUUUCCAUGCCUCCAUAUGAAGAGAAGAAGAGGUUUGGGCUUCUGAUGGCCGCAUCUGCUUUCGAGGGGGCUUCCAUUGGCCCUUUGAUUGAGCUUGCCAUUGAGUUCGACUCCAGGUUGAUUAUGCUUGCACCCCUGAAGAGGUUCAACAGCAUUUUCAGUCGUGUGGUACUGUUAACAGAGUCACCAUUCUCACUGACAGAAACGGUCAGCCUAGGGUUUUGCUUAUGUCGAAUUCUUGGAAGUUGAGGCAGUCCAAGAAGCCUUUUGGUUGCAUGAGUCUGAGCUUCAUGCUCGUCCAAUCAAGGUUGCCGCCAAACGAACCAAUGUUCCAGGGCUGAAGCAGUUCCGUCCUCUGCGACAUAUUCAUAUAGCAGGCCUCACAUGCCAUCCUGAUGUCGAGUUUGUGGACAAAGAAGCAGUCGCAGUUACCAGUGCGUCUCGGAAGGCAACUUUCUACAAUGGACCAAGCUCUACGGACUUCAUAAAUGUCCAUGACAUUUUUCUUGAAUGUGAUCAUGAUUCAAUCAUAUACCUUGGGAAGUCUAUUGAACCAACAAUAUAUGAUCUUUUGGGUGAUCAAGAGGUUUGUAAUCUGGACUUUUCUGAAAACUUUGUAAUAUCUUCUUUCUGCUAUGCUUCUUGGUUAUUUUGGAAUCUUUCUGCCACAAUUUUGCAAUGCAAGGUUGAAAUCUGCUUGUUGAAAAAUGGAAAACCAUCAUGGACGAAGAAGUUUCUUUGCUCCAAAGUCAGGUCUGUCUUCAUUGUUGUCACAUACAACUCAUGCAGAAGUGUGAAUUAAUUUUUUUUGUAUUGUGGUUGAUAUAAUUUUCCUGUUCAUGUUGGGUUAGGUUAUAUUUUUCUUUGCCAACCAUUUUUUGGACCUCAGAGAUAUAUUGUAUAUUUUCUAUAACAAUCUUGCCAAAAGAUAAGGGUCCUGGUAUAAUGAAGCUUGAUGUCAAUUGGUAUUUAGCCAAUAAAUUAAAAAUGUCAUAAGAUUCAAUUCACUUUAAAUUUAUGCUUGUGUAUGGUUGACUCUGAUGAGAUUUAGCAAAUUGAUGACUUUUUAAAUAUCUUUGAUAUCCAUAUAACAACAUUUUAACAAUUAUACUGCUUGUUUUAGGUGGUACAACAACUUAUCGAUGUAUAGUUACUUUGAUGCAUCCUUACUACCUUGAUUAUAUUUGGUUUGUCAAGUUGUUGUGUCUUAAGACUGGCUCGAGGUGACAAAAUAUGCUGGAUUGGUCUGUGCUUAGGCCCGUCAAGAAUUAAUUCAAGAUAUGUUUAAGGUCUGGCAAGAUUCUCAGCAAGGAACUCUUACUGGCGGCAUGAUAAAGUAUGAAAAUGCAAUCCAACAUGACAUGAACCACCAUCACAAGUUUCUAGUCUUUUGGCUAUUGUUCAUUAGUUACAAAUGAAGUUUAUUUGUUUAUUUGUAUUGGGAUAAAUUUUAUUUGAAUAUGAGACAUGAUUUUUCUUUUGUGA